rnacentral:tmRNA from 1 species
GGGGAUGUUUCUGGAUUCGACAGGGGUGGUUUGAACUUAAGUUGCGAGUCGAGGGUUGCGCCCGCGACAAAACGCUAACGCCUAUAACUGGCAAACAAGAACUAACUUUAGCUGCUUAGUCGGCUAAGCUCCUUAUAAUUGCUGCUCACGUAGUUUUAAGGGGUCCACUGAAGUGAGAUACGCCGGAGUUCACCGUCUGAGAACGAAGGAAGAGAACGACCAGACUAGCUAUGCAAAUGCUCGUCGAUAGGCUAGUGUAUAUGCGAAUUUCAAAUGUAUCGGCUACACUCGUAGACGCUUAAGUGGCAACAUCUUUGGACGCGGGUUCGACUCCCGCCAUCUCCAUUU